ACCCUUCCCUGGCAGGGGAGCCACCAUGGCCACGAAGGUGGACUCCCCAGGGAGACGCUCACCCCUGCGCUGUGGGGUGCUGACCCCUGCAAUUUUCCCAAAGGUGGGAAAGUUGACUGCAUAAUUUGUGGAGGUGGGAGACUGAAUUUGUGCUUUCAUAUA
rnacentral:snRNA from 1 species